rnacentral:lncRNA from 1 species
AGCACCAAGCACUAGGCCAGGUCAGGCAAGCACCAACCACCAAGCCAGGUCAGGCAAGCACCAGGCCAGGUCAGGCAAGCACUAGGCCAGGACAGCCAGGUCCACGCCCAACUGGAACCAGGUCACGCCCAGCGUGGACCAAGCUGGUGCCGAGCGUGAACCAAACUAUUGCCCAGCAUGGACCAGUCUGACCUGGCUGACCUGGACAACAAACCC